GAUGAAGAACGCAGCGAAAUGCGAUACUUGGUGUGAAUUGCAGAAUCCCGUGAACCAUCGAGUCUUUGAACGCAAGUUGCGCCCGAAGCCAUUAGGCCGAGGGCACGCCUGCCUGGGUGUCACACACCGUUACCCUCGCGCCAACGUCCAUCGUUGGCCGCGGCGCGGGGCGUGCGCUGACCUCCCGCGAGCGGGGUCUCGUGGUUGGUUGAAAAUCGAGUUCGCGGUCGAGGGUGCCGUGAUGAAAUGGUGGAUGGGCGACGCCCGAGGCCAAUCACGCGCGACUCUGUCCGGCUCGNANUCCUGGACCCCUUCGGCGUCUCCGGACGCUCUUUGGCGAGACCUCAGGUCAGGCGGGGCUACCCGCUGAGUUUAAGCAUAUCAAUAAGCGGAGGA
rnacentral:misc_RNA from 1 species